rnacentral:rRNA from 1 species
GACGAACGCUGGCGGCGUGCUUAACACAUGCAAGUCGAACGCUGAAGCUCAGCUUUUGUUGGGUGGAUGAGUGGCGAACGGGUGAGUAACACGUGAGUAACCUGCCCCCUUCUUUGGGAUAACGCCCGGAAACGGGUGCUAAUACUGGAUAUUCACUGGUCUUCGCAUGGGGGGUGGUGGAAAGGGUUUUUCUGGUGGGGGAUGGGCUCGCGGCCUAUCAGCUUGUUGGUGGGGUGAUGGCCUACCAAGGCUUUGACGGGUAGCCGGCCUGAGAGGGUGACCGGCCACAUUGGGACUGAGAUACGGCCCAGACUCCUACGGGAGGCAGCAGUGGGGAAUAUUGCACAAUGGGCGCAAGCCUGAUGCAGCGACGCCGCGUGAGGGAUGGAGGCCUUCGGGUUGUGAACCUCCUUCGCUCAUGGUCAAGCCGCAACAAUGGUUGUGGUGAGGGUAGUGGGUAAAGAAGCGCCGGCUAACUACGUG